UGAAGUGUGGCAGCACUAAGGUAUGAAUCUGAUACUCUGCCCCUCAAAGCAGCGGAACCAGAGCGUGUCACAACCCCACCUUGGGGAUUGCGCCCAAGGAAAUAGAUCUCCAGUAAAAUUCUUAAGCGUCACGUUAUGCAGACGGCACGCAGCUGAUCGUCACAAGAAGAAAACAUCGACACCAACAGCAACGACGAAAGGACCAGCACUUCCUCCUGAAGCCCAGAGCCGGCCUUGGAACCGCGCAGGCCCUCACUCCGAGAUAGGGGUCGAUGAAAGAAGGCAUGGGGCUACAGCUGGAGCGUUUGAAGUCUGAGAGGAGUGGAUGUCCCCUCUGCUGCCCAGCGACUGCAACUUGCCGGCGAAUCAGGGCAAAGACGAUCCAGCCGUCUGAUUGGUGGAUAGAGUGGGGACCUGGGGUGACAUUCACACUGAUCCUUGAUGGGCUUGUGCUUGAUGCUGGUGCUGCGCUCGCUUCUCACCUUCGUAUAUAGAGAUGAUGUGUGGGUGGCGGAGGGAUGACAUGAUUUCGAUCUCUCUGCGGAUGUGCACCAUGUCCUGCUCAUCCUUGAUCUUUUCCUUCCGAAUUGAUUU